UCUCUCCUCUCAAUCAUUGUUCCAAACACUCUUAAGAACCUAAAUGAAGAUCAUCGUCAACAAUCGUCUUGAUUGACAGUUAUUAUGGAUUUGGAAGAAUGAUACACAAAAUCUCUUACAUCAAAGGUUUUGUUAUCAAGAAAAAAUAUGGCCAUGAUGCCACCAAUGUUGGUGAUGAAGGUGAUUUUGCUUCUAAUAUUAUGGUGAUCAUGGUUUAACCAUUUUCAUACAUCAUUUUGAUAUUCUUUUUUAACGAUUUCUACAUAUUCGUUCUUUAUCUUUAGGAAAACAAAAAGGGCCUUAAAUUACUAAAGAUUCAUUUACACUUAUGAAUUGAUCAAUUUGAUUUUUUUAAAUCUUUAAUAUGUAAAAUUGGAAGUAGCAAAAUAGAAACACAUCAAAACUGGUUGAAAAUUACCCAAAGUUUAUUUUUUAUACAAUCUCUUAAAUUGUUUCUUUCACUAAAAAAAGUAAGCGUAUUA
rnacentral:lncRNA from 1 species